rnacentral:misc_RNA from 1 species
UAUACUCUUCAAAUUUUGACUGCCCUUCUAACAAAUUCUCCAAAUAGGUUGCAGGAGGCUAUUUUGAUCAUUCCCCGUGGUAUAACUCGCCUCAUGGAUAUGCUUAUGGAUCGAGAGGUUAUACGAAAUGAGGCCUUAUUGCUUCUUACUUACCUGACUAGAGAAGCUGAGGAGAUUCAAAAAAUUGUGGUCUUUGAGGGCGC